rnacentral:rRNA from 1 species
AAUGACCUAACGGUUGAACCAGCAACUUGGAAGAAUGUAAAUAUGUAUUAAUAAAUAUUAAUACAAUUAACAUAUAUAUGUAUAAAAUUCUAAAUAGAUUAAUGAUAAUGACAAUUAUCUAUUUAUCAGUCUUGACCAACAUACGUGCCAGCAGUCGCGGUAAUACGUUAAAGACUAGUAUAAGUCAUCUUUACCAGGUUUAAAGGGUACGUAGACGGAAAAUUACACCCCAUAGGGGUACUUUUUUUCUAGAGUUACUAAAUAUAAGGGGUGAAUUUUUGAAGUAAAGAUGAAAUUUAGUUAUAUCAAAAAGACGGGUAAAAGUUAAUGCAGCCUUUUUUUUAUUUAACUGACGUUGAGGUACGAAGGCUUGGGAUAACGAUAAGGAUUAGAUACCCUAGUAGUCCAAGCAGAAAAUGAUGAAUGUCAUAAAUUAAAAAAUUUUUAGUUUAUAAAUAAAAGUGUAAGCAUUCCACCUUAAGAGUACGAUGGCAACAUUAAAACUGAAAUCAUUAGGCCGUUCCUGAAACCAGUAGUGAAGUAUGUUAUUUAAUUCGAUAAUCCGCGAUAAAUCUUACCAGAACUUGUAUAAUUUAUUACAGGCGCUGCACGGCUGUCUUUAGCUAAUGUCGUGAGAUCUGGUUAAUUCCUACAAUUAGCGAAAACCUUGGUUUUAUUUAAGUGUAUAAUACACCUUGCCAAUUUUUUGGACUAUAUACAUAGGAUCAAGACAAGUCAUCAUGGCCUCAAUGUUCU